rnacentral:tRNA from 1 species
UGAUAAUUAGUUUAAACAAAACAAGUGAUUUCGACUCACUAAAUUAUGGUUAUUUCCAUAAUUAUCAA